AUUGAACGCUGGCGGCAUGCUUUACACAUGCAAGUCGAACGGUAACAGGCCUUCGGGUGCUGACGAGUGGCGAACGGGUGAGUAAUGCAUCGGAACGUACCCAGAGGUGGGGGAUAACGCAGCGAAAGCUGUGCUAAUACCGCAUGUGAUCUGAGGAUGAAAGCGGGGGACCGAGCAGCAAUGUUUGGCCUCGCGCCUUUGGAGCGGCCGAUGUCGGAUUAGCUAGUCGGUGGGGUAAAGGCCUACCAAGGCGACGAUCCGUAGCUGGUCUGAGAGGACGACCAGCCACACUGGGACUGAGACACGGCCCAGACUCCUACGGGAGGCAGCAGUGGGGAAUUUUGGACAAUGGGCGCAAGCCUGAUCCAGCAAUGCCGCGUGCGGGAAGAAGGCCUUCGGGUUGUAAACCGCUUUUGGCAGGAACGAAACGGUGUCCGCUAAUACCGGGCGCUAAUGACGGUACCUGCAGAAUAAGCACCGGCUAACUACGUG
rnacentral:rRNA from 1 species